AGAGCGAACGCUGGCGGCAGGCCUAACACAUGCAAGUCGAGCGCGUGUAGCAAUACACGAGCGGCAGACGGGAGAGUAACACGUGGGAACGCGCCCUUCGGUUCGGAAUAACUCAGGGAAACUUGAGCUAAUACCGGAUACGCCCUUACGGGGAAAGAUUUAUUGCCGAAGGAACGGCCCGCGUCCGAUUAGCUAGUUGGUGAGGUAACGGCUCACCAAGGCGACGAUCGGUAGCUGGUCUGAGAGGAUGACCAGCCUCACUGGGACUGAGACACGGCCCAGACUCCUACGGGAGGCAGCAGUGGGGAAUAUUGGACAAUGGGCGCAAGCCUGAUCCAGCCAUGCCGCGUGGAUGAUGAAGGCCUUAGGGUUGUAAAGUCCUUUUAACGGGGAAGAUAAUGACGGUACCCGUAGAAUAAGCCCCGGCUAACUUCGCGCCAGCAGCCGC
rnacentral:rRNA from 1 species